UACGAAGGGGGCUAGCGUUGCUCGGAAUCACUGGGCGUAAAGGGUGCGUAGGCGGGUCUUUAAGUUCAGGGGUGAAAUCCUGGAGCUCAACUCCAGAACUGCCUUGAUACUGAAGAUCUUGAGUUCGGGAGAGGUGAGUGGAACUGCGAGUGUAGAGGUGAAAAUUCGUAGAUAUUCGCAAGAACACCAGUGGCGAAGGCGGCUCACUGGCCCGAUACUGACGCUGAGGCACGAA
rnacentral:rRNA from 1 species